CCUACGGGUGGCAGCAGUGGGGAAUAUUGGGCAAUGGGCGCAAGCCUGACCCAGCAAAGCAGCGUGAAGGAAGACGGCUUUCGGGUUGUAAACUUCUUUUAAGAGGGAAGAGCAGAAGACGGUACCUCUUGAAUAAGCCACGGCUAACUACGUGCGAGCAGCCGCGGUAAUACGUAGGUGGCCAGCGUUUUCCGGAUUUACUGGGUGUAAAGGGCGUGCAGCCGGGAAGACAAGUCAGAUGUGAAAUCCCGCGGCUCAACCGUGGAAUUGCAUUUGAAACUGGUUUUCUUGAGUACCGUAGAGGUCAUCGGAAUUCCUGGUGUAGCGGUGAAAUGCGUAGAGAUAAGGAAGAACACCAGUGGCGAAGGCGGAUGACUGGACGGCAACUGACGUUGAGGCGCGAAAGCGUGGGGAGCAAACAGGAUUAGAUACCCUGGUAGUC
rnacentral:rRNA from 1 species